UACAGAGGGUGCAAGCGUUGUUCGGAAUUAUUGGGCGUAAAGCGCGCGUAGGCGGCUUUGCAAGUCGGGUGUGAAAGCCCUCAGCUCAACUGAGGAAGGGCGCCCGAAACUGCAGAGCUUGAGUGCCGGAGAGGGUGGCGGAAUUCCCCAAGUAGAGGUGAAAUUCGUAGAUAUGGGGAGGAACACCGAUGGCGAAGGCAGCCCCCUGGGCUGAGAUUGACGCUCAGGCACGAAAGCGUGGGGAGCAAACAGG
rnacentral:rRNA from 1 species